GUGCCGAGGUUGUUCUAUUAUGACCUGAAGAUAACUGUUCAUCAACAGCUAAUGUACUAUGACCAUGUGAGCUUAUCUCUCCAGAGUGGGCCAUCCGGUCUUCACUCUUCAUAAUUAUCCUUUCAACAUCAAAAGCAUGUAUAUUACCAGCAACUCCAGGUAAAGAAUCCUCUGAAGAGGAACGGAGAUGAGAUGGAGAUGAUUCCUCUCUUUG
rnacentral:misc_RNA from 1 species